CGUGUAGGCGGUAAUGUAAGUCAGACGUGAAAUCCUUUGGCUCAACUGAAGAACUGCGUCUGAAACUGCAUGACUAGAGUGCAGAAGAGGGAAACGGAAUUCCAGGUGUAGAGGUGAAAUUCGUAGAUAUCUGGAGGAACACCGGUGGCGAAGGCGGUUUCCUGGUUCUGACACUGACGCUGAGGCGCGAAAGCGUGGGGAGCAAACAGGAUUAGAUACCCUGGUAGUCCACGCCGUAAACGGUGGGUACUGGGUGUGGGAGGUGUAAUGCCUUCUGUGCCGAAGCUAACGCGUUAAGUACCCCCGCCUGGGGGAGUACGGCCGCAAGGUUGAA
rnacentral:rRNA from 1 species